AGCACUCAGUAACAAAGUCUCCUGUGAAUGGCUGGAAUCCAGCAGGUUAUUUCAAUACAACACCGUGCGAGCAACACAGCAACAUUCCGAGGGUGGGAGUGCUUACAAGGUGUUCCCACUUUCUUUCUGAGACAUAGUGGAGUGCCUCAUCCGUGAAGGGCCGCCGAGGAAAUGUCAGCAUUGGCUCUGCAGCAGGGAAAAGGAUUAUUUGGGAGCAUGGUGUGCCACAGGCAUAGACACUGAAAGGAGGACCACACCAAGGAGAAACAACCCGAGGGAUGAACAGAAGAAAUCACACACGGAUUUACACAAAGCACAAUGGGACAAUCUACAAACAUAAGCCAAGAGCAAAGGAGGAGCCAACGUGUUAAAGAAAAUUGUUGCUCGGAUGGAACUUCUAACCCUUAACUUUUUGUUUGCGUUGUCAGCUAACUUGUUUGUUCGUAAACAAAUGCAUGUUGAACGCUCUCCCUCUCAUCCCCCAUUGCGGUACACUUCGUUCAAUUUCUCAUAUACCUUCGUCGUAAUACAGUGAUUGAUAUACAUAAACGUUUGUUUUCCAUGAACCAAUUUUUAUUUUUUUGUUACUCCUCCAUUACCCAGUAACUACCGUGCUCGAUUAAGAUUGCCCCUUCGAAAUUGCCAUUGCUUUUCACUUUGCAUUUCGCUAACGGAUGGUGUGAAUGUGUGAAUUUCAACAGCAAUGCGGAAAAUGCAACUUUCAGUUAUUUUUACGAAAACCUUAAGAUUUCUGAUGCAACGUUACUGAUGUGUGAUGGUGAUGUGUUUUUAUGUCCAUAGUUAUUUCAAAAUUGAAUUAAAAUGCAUAAUCGCAAUUAGUAACCCCCUCCUUUGCAAAACUGUGUGCAUGUUAAAACCAUCAGCAACCAUAAAUACACCAUUCUUUCAAUACGGCUCGGCUUCCUUUGCAAAAAAAACCUCCACGUGGUAUGUUUUUAAAAUCAUAAUGUAUUGCUACAAAGACAUUUUUGCAGAGUCCCAGGAGAGCCGGCCGUGGACAAAACCUUAGUAUGUCUAAUAAUACUCUUGUUGUUUUGAGAGUUCCAGUUUCUUAAAGAUCUAUUCGGGAUUUCGGAAAAAAGGAAGGAAAAAUGCUCCAACAGCCAUCGUUUUUUUGUAAUUGUGAAAUUGGCUUGAAAAAUUCCCCCAUAUGAAUUGUUUAAUAUGCUCACAGAUUGCCUGUAAGUAGAUAUGUACCCGGACUGCUUUUCAGUUUAUUUUGCAAAGUCCCGUUUUAAUAUCUAUACCUAUAUCAGUCAAUCUAUAGAUAGCUUUUCCUGUAGGCACAGUUUAUUGUGCAUGCACACGUAUCUUCUUGUGCUGCAAUUGCUGCCCUUUAUAAUUAACUAUAGUAGUAGGGUCAGUUCCAUUUAGGUGAAUAUUUAUGUUAACUGAAUAGAAAUUGGGGAAGCUCGUUUUCUGGCUAAGUCUGUUUUCUUAAAGAAAAGUUAAAUGAAUUCCUUUAUUUCAAACAGAGUUUGCAUUGUGAGUAUUCUGAAAGUAAGAAAAAUAAAACAAAAACGGCAUAAAUGUUUCCUAUCUUAUAAACCUGUUGCUGCCGAACAUGGAGGAAAAUUAUUGCAUUUGAACAUGGAUUUUAAUAUGGAUUUCUGCUGUGUAAAUAAAUUGCCCCAUGUAAAACCAAAUUCAUAGACUGGUUCUCUAUUCCUGUACACUUUGCAGCCUAAUUUGUGAAUUUGUUAUCAAUAUCCAUGUAAGUCAAAGUAACAUUACUGGUAUAAGUGAGGGAAACAUAUUUCUUAAUUUGUUUGGAGAGCAGCUCCCUUUGGCUGGUGGUUUUUAUGACAAUAUAAAUGAUUUGAACAGGUACACUACAAUAGCAGAAAUACUAAUAAAAGAUGGUGUACUCAAUAACUGGCAAUCUCCAGUCAUACUCCAACUUGACAAAAUUCUAGUGAUUGAUUGGUAAUUUGAUACAACCCAGUGCAAGGAUUGAAUUAGGGUAGACACACAUGUGAAUGCUGCACCAUUUCCACUUUGCUCAAAUUAACAGUGAAUGAAUGUGAUUUUGUGUUGCAAAUGUGGCUAGAGGAAUAACCUGCGAGUAACCAAUGGGUAUUGCAUAGUUUCCUGUAGCAAUUUGAUUAGUUACCCUCAAUUCCACAUUUCUUGUUCAACUCUCUUUGAUACAACAUAUAAUUUUCUAAUUUAACUCCAAUAAAUCCCAGUAACUCUUCUCAGUUCCCUCCAGAAGCAAUGCCCACAAUUCCAAUCACUCAUCUCAGCCCCUGGCUCACGUUGACCUUAAUGGGCUACAAUAGCAGUGAUCUUUUGAACCCAGUGCAGAUCCUUAAGUCCCGCAUCUUAUCCAACAUCAAGAAGGUCUAUAUUUGACUUUGCAAAACCACGUGCUUCUGACUCCCCUUUUUCCACUCCCAAUUGGAAUUCUCAUCCAUGCAGUCAUCACCUCCAGAUUCAAUUUUUUUUUCCCUAGCUCCAUCAUACUCCACUAUCUUCAAAAUUAUGUUGUUUUCAUUUAAAGUUUACCGACAUCAUACUGAGCCCUAAUCUCUCAUCACUAAGUCCCUGGCACUUAAAUUUAGAAUUUUUCCCCACAAUUUACAAAAUCAUUCAUAACCUUAAUCCAUUUUGCCUCAUGCCAAGUGUUCCAGGCUACACUUUUUAAUUUUCUGUAACUAGUCUACAAUAUCUACCUUCUUAUGCUUCAUUGUGGUCAUUUUGAUAUUGCACCAUUAAAUGUUCUUCUCAAAUGAAA